rnacentral:rRNA from 1 species
UUAAGUCCCGCAACGAGCGCAACCCUUGUCAUUAGUUGCUACAUUCAGUUGGGCACUCUAAUGAGACUGCCGGUGACAAGCCGGAGGAAGUGGGGAUGACGUCAAGUCCUCAUGGCCCUUAUAGGUGGGGCUACACACGUCAUACAAUGGCUGGUACAAAGGGUUGCCAACCCGCGAGGGGGAGCCAAUCCCAUAAAGCCAGUCGUAGUCCGGAUCGUAGUCUGCAACUCGACUACGUGAAGUCGGAAUCGCUAGUAAUCGUGGAUCAGAAUGUCACGGUGAAUACGUUCCCGGGUCUU